rnacentral:lncRNA from 1 species
CAGAUGCGCAUUUCGACAAUACAUGUCUCUUCAGUGAUGCUCGUGGCCAAAAUAUUUGAAAUCCAAAGCUUAUAUAAAAGAUGAAGAGCUAUAAUCCAAAAGUUCCAAAAAGUAUAGCCAAAUCCGUGAAAGGAAUCAGAGCUUUGCAUGAGGGAGAUACAUUCCUUAAUUUAUAAUAAUUUCUAACAUUUUGUAACAGCAAAUUUUAAUUAAACA